rnacentral:rRNA from 1 species
AAAACAUGGUUUUUUGUUUUAUAUAAAAAAUCUGGCCUGCUCAGUGAGUUUUAAAUAGCUGCAGUAUUUUGACUGUACAAAGGUAGCAUAAUCACUUGUCCUUUAAUUGAGGUCUGGAAUGAAUGGUUUGAUGAAAAAUAUACUUUAUUUAUUUUUAAGAAAAAAUUUAAUUUUUGAGUAAAAAAGCUUGAAAAUUUUUUUAUAGGACGAGAAGACCCUAUAGAGCUUUAUUUUAUUAUUUUUGUAUUAUGUUAGGUUAUAUAUUUUUAAUAAAAAUGGUGAAAUUUUGUUGGGGUGACAAAAAAAAUAUAAUAACUUUUUUUAAUUAUUACAUUGAUUAAUGUAUUUUUGAUCCUUUUUUUGGAAAAAAGAAUAAGCUACCUUAGGGAUAACAGCGUUAUUAUUUUGGAGAGUUCAUAUCGAUGAAAUAGUUUGCGACCUCGAUGUUGGAUUAAAAUAAGAUAUAGAAGUAGAAUGUUAUAUUCUUGGUCUGUUCGACCUUUAAAUUUUUACAUGAUCU